CGGACGGGUGAGUAACGCGUAAAGAACUUGCCUUUAGACUGGGAUAACAGAGGGAAACUUCUGAUAAUACUGGAUAAGUUAGUAUAUCGCAUGAUAUGCAAAUGAAAGCUACGGCACUAAAGGAGAGCUUNUGCGUCCUAUUAGCUAGUUGGUAAGGUAAGAGCUUACCAAGGCGAUGAUAGGUAGCCGGCCUGAGAGGGUGGACGGCCACAAGGGGACUGAGAUACGGCCCUUACUCCUACGGGAGGCAGCAGCC
rnacentral:rRNA from 1 species